CGGCGCCCUGGUGGCGAGUCGCGCUGUGCGGGUGUCGGAGAUGGCGGGGCUUCAGCACCUCAGCCGUCCUGGGCCGCCGGACACCCCCGCUGGGGCCGAUGCCCAACAGUGACAUCGACUUGAGCAACCUGGAGCGGCUGGAGAAGUACCGGAGCUUCGACCGCUACCGGCGCCGGGCAGAGCAGGAGGCGCAGGCCCCGCACUGGUGGCGGACCUACCGGGAGCAUUUCGGGGAGAAGACAGAUCCCGAAGAAAAGAUUGAUAUUGGGCUGCCUCCACCCAAAGUCUCCCGGACCCAACAGCUACUGGAACGGAAACAGGCCAUCCGGGAGCUUCGGGCCAAUGUGGAAGAGGAGCGGGCUGCCCGCCUCCGCACAGCCAGUGUCCCGCUGGAUGCUGUGCGGGCCGAGUGGGAGAGGACCUGUGGCCCCUACCACAAGCAGCGUCUGGCUGAGUAUUACGGCCUCUACCGAGACCUGUUCCACGGUGCUACCUUUGUGCCCCGAGUCCCUCUGCACGUGGCCUACGCUGUGGGUGAGGACGACCUGAUGCCCGUGUACUGUGGCAAUGAGGUGACUCCAACCGAGGUAACCGCUCACUUGUGCCCCUCCUCCCUGCAAGCACAGACACAUCCCAUCUCAGUGUCACAGACACUCCUGGGUUUGGAAUUUUGUUGUUCUCUGUCUCUUUGAUUUCCUGGAAGACAACACCAUGACAAUUUCAAAGAAAAUAGAACAAAAUGAAGGAAAAAAAGGCUCUGUCUUAGCACAUUCCUGUGACCGGCCUGCUGUCUGUGGUAUGCCCUCCUGCCCAGGCCUUGGCACAUGUUCGUUUUUGUGGUUGUUGCCUGGACAGGCAACUCUGCAGGGCUCCUUCUCUACACAUCCCUUUGCCUGCCUGCCUGUGCCAGGGGCUGUCAAGGGCUUUUGGGUCAGAGUGGGCACCCCUUUCUCCAAGGCUCCCUGCAACAGCUGGCCUGUCCCUGGUGGGGCUUACAGCUUCCUUCUCUCCCUGCCAGGCUGCCCAAGUGCCAGAGGUGACCUAUGAGGCAGAAGAGGGCUCCUUGUGGACAUUGCUACUCACUAGCUUGGGUGGGUGUCUGGGGCUCA
rnacentral:sRNA from 1 species